GCUUCCAUAGCUCAGUGGUAGAGCACUUCCAUGGUAAGGAAGGGGGGGUCGCCGGUUCAAGUCCGGCUGGAAGCU
rnacentral:tRNA from 1 species